rnacentral:rRNA from 1 species
GUGCCAGCAGCCGCGGUAAUACGAACUGUGCGAACGUUAUUCGGAAUCACUGGGCUUAAAGGGUGCGUAGGCGGCGCUGUAAGUCAGGUGUGAAAUCCCCCGGCUCAACCGGGGAAUGGCGCUUGAAACUGCAGUGCUUGAGUGAGGUAGGGGUGCAUGGAACUUCCGGUGGAGCGGUGAAAUGUGUAGAUAUCGGAAGGAACGCCGGCGGCGAAAGCGGUGCACUGGGCCUUGUCUGACGCUGAGGCACGAAAGCUAGGGUAGCGAACGGGAUUAGAAACCCGCGUAGUCC